rnacentral:rRNA from 1 species
UACGAAGGGGGCUAGCGUUGCUCGGAAUCACUGGGCGUAAAGCGCACGUAGGCGGCUUAUUAAGUCAGGGGUGAAAUCCUGGAGCUCAACUCCAGAACUGCCUUUGAUACUGAUGAGCUUGAGUCCGGGAGAGGUGAGUGGAACUGCGAGUGUAGAGGUGAAAUGCGUUGAUAUCGAUAGGAACUCCGGUGGCGAAGGCGGCAUACUGGACCACUACUGACGCUGAUGCGCGAAAGCCAGGGGAGCAAACGGG